rnacentral:rRNA from 1 species
UACGUAGGCGGAAAAUUAAGUCAGUAGUGAAAUCCUGCAGCUUAACUGUAGAACUGUUAUUGAUACUGGUUUUCUUGAAUAUAGUUAAGGUAGGCGGAAUGUGUAAUGUAGCGGUGAAAUGCUUAGAUAUUACACAGAACACCGAUUGCGAAGGCAGCUUACUAAGCUAUGAUUGACGCUGAGGUACGAAAGCGUGGGGAGCGAACAGGAUUAGAUACCCUGGUAGUCC